rnacentral:rRNA from 1 species
GACGAACGCUGGCGGCGUGCUUAACACAUGCAAGUCGAACGGAAAGGCCCUGCUUUUGUGGGGUGCUCGAGUGGCGAACGGGUGAGUAACACGUGAGUAACCUGCCCUUGACUUUGGGAUAACUUCAGGAAACUGGGGCUAAUACCGGAUAUGAGCUCCUGCUGCAUGGUGUGGGUUGGAAAGUUUCGGCGGUUGGGGAUGUACUCGCGGCUUAUCAGCUUGUUGGUGGGGUAGUGGCUUACCAAGGCUUUGACGGGUAGCCGGCCUGAGAGGGUGAACGGCCACAUUGGGACGGAGAUACGGCGCAGAGUCGUACGGGAGGCAGGAGGGGGGAAUAGUGCACAAUGGGAGGAAGCCUGAUGCAGAAACGCCGCGUGCGGGAUGACGGCCUUCGGGUUGUAAACAGAUUUCGAAUGUGACGAAGCGUGAGUGACGGUAAUGGGUAAAGAAGCACCGGCUAACUACGUG